rnacentral:tRNA from 1 species
GUCCCUAUAGCUCAAUUGGUAGAGCGCGGUACUGUUAAUACCGUUCGUAGAUGUUCGAGUCAUCUUAGGGGCG